GGAAUGAUGAAUAUGGACUUCCUGUAGCUGCCACUCAGUUAUUUUGAGAGAAACUCUGCGGAAGUAUGGAGGUAUCAAUCUCAGGGACGCCACACAAAAAAUCCUAAGAGCGUUGAUGUC